rnacentral:tRNA from 1 species
ACUAGUUCAUCGGUAGAACGCUCGGUUUGGGACCGAGAGGUACAGGGUUCAAUUCCCUGGUCUCCGACA